UACAGGGGGGGCAAGCGUUGUUCGGAAUUACUGGGCGUAAAGGGUCUGUAGGUGGCUUGCUAAGUCAGACGUGAAAUCCCUCAGCUUAACUGGGGAACUGCGUCUGAUACUGGCAAGCUUGAGUGCAGGAGAGGAACGCGGAAUUCCAGGUGUAGCGGUGAAAUGCGUAGAUAUCUGGAGGAACACCGGUGGCGAAGGCGGCGUUCUGGACUGCAACUGACACUGAGAGACGAAAGCGUGGGGAGCAAACAGG
rnacentral:rRNA from 1 species